GAACUAUCCGGGCAGAUUUGAUUGAGCAAAUGAGAUUUAAGCAGAGGCUGAAAGUGAUCCAAACCCUGGAGGACACCACCAAACGCAAUGUGGUACGGACCAUUGUGACGGAGACCUCCUUCACCAUUGAUGAGCUGGAAGAACUAUAUGCGCUUUUCAAGGCUGAACAUCUGACCAGCUGCUACUGGGGUGGGAGCAGCAAUGCCCCGGACCGGCACGACCCCAGCCUGCCUUACCUGGAGCAGUACCGCAUCGACUUCGAGCAGUUCAAGGGCAUGUUUGUGCUCCUCUUUCCCUGGGCGUGUGGCACUCAUUCUGAUGUGCUGGCCUCCCGCUUGUUCCAGCUACUGGACGAGAAUGGGGACUCC
rnacentral:lncRNA from 1 species